rnacentral:misc_RNA from 1 species
GGCAAUGUAAGAAACUGAGUCAAUAUUUAUCACCUAGGAAAUACUACUCAUUUACAAAAUCAGAAUGGUAAAUACAUUCAAUGUAGUUCAGGUCGUCGGUGAAAACAUAAAUCUCAUCACUGGUUAUCAUGUAGAAAUAAAGGUAUGAGCGAUGAAACUUUCACAUACCUUUCCAAAGUAUCCUGGAUGGUACUUGUCGAAGUUGAUACGGUGGUGGUGCAUACCUCCAGCGUUACCACGUCCACCAGGAUGCUUUCUACUCACCAAUUCGUCCAUGACCGUGGCUGACGUGUCCACGAAGCUUCCUUGUCUUCUUCUUGUGGGUGGACUGAGAACAGAAGAAAGAAAAAACGAUUUGGUAAUUGACGUUAUUAUAUCAUAUUGUUGUUGUUUAGCACGCCCGUGUACAACGGGUCAAGAGGCUUGCGAUAUAUCUUUUAUUUAUUGACUACGCCAUGAAAACACCGCGUAUAUAAAAUCGAGAAUUUAUCCCUGAUAAUCCUGGGUAUACAACGAAGUUACUUUACGUCGUUAAGGCACACGGAUGCUUGUAGAAAAUAG